rnacentral:rRNA from 1 species
UGGGGAAUAUUGAACAAUGGCCGGAAGUUUGAUGCAGCGACGCCGCGUGGAGGGUGUAGGCCUUCGGGUUGUGAACUCCUUUUUCUCGCGAAAAAGGCACAGUUUUGGCUGUGUUGAUGGUAGUGGGGGAAGAAGCGCCGGCUAACUACGUGCCAGAAGCCGCGGUAAUAAGUAGGGCGCGAGCGCUGUCCGGAUUUAUUGGGCGUAAAGAGCUCGUAGGUGGUUCGGCGCGUCUGUCGUGAAAGCCAGCAGCUUAACUGUUGGUCUGCGGUGGGUACGGGCGGGCUUGAGUGCGGUAGGGGUGACUGGAAUUCCUGGUGUAGCGGUGGAAUGCGCAGAUAUCAGGAGGAACACCGAUGGCGAAGGCAGGUCACUGGGCCGUUACUGACACUGAGGAGCUAAAGCGUGGGGAGCGAACAGG